UUAAAAAAAAAAAUAACGUCCUACAGAAGCAGGGGUAAUAAGUCUCCUCCCUGGAGGUCACUCCACGAGGCAGGCUAUGGGCACCUGCCAGGUGCUGGAGAAAUCUCUGCUAACCCAGACUUCCGGCCGCCUUGAUGUUCUCUCCCUGCGUCUUGAUGUCCCUCCCAUCCUGCAUUCCGCUUCCUCAAGGAUAAAGGUGUUCUUUGCGCACCUUUCCUCAGGCCAAGGCUUUUCAGUUUCCUCUGCACUGGCCUUUGUUACCAAGUCCGGUCUCCUCCCUGGAGAGCAGCUUCCUGUUUGUGCUCUUCCUGCCAAGGAGCUCCAUCAGUCAGCUUGCCUGGGCCCCCUUCCUGGCCCAGCCCCUUCUUACUGUGUGGUCUUAAAGCAGGUCACUUCACCUCUCCCUAUCUUUCUCUGUAAAACCCAGAUAAUACUACUUCCAGAAUAAAGAGAGGGUUUUCUUUAAGCCCUUUGAGCUUCAGAUGGAGGCACCACAGCCCUGCCCGGGGCCGCGCCGGCCACCAUGUGAUUAGGUAAUGUGAGACGCGGCUCAUUAUGCUUUGUCUGCAAUGAAUGCGGCCCGGCCACAAAGCGCUGGAACUUUCGGUUACAUUGAAACCCCCGCGGUGGAGGGACCUGUAUCCCCAGACCAGCAUCCCCAGAAGCUUCCUCUGCAAGACACAGAAGACUCCCGGGCAGUCCGGCCUUGCUGGGCAGGGCGGGAGCUAUGCCUGUGCAGAGAUGAGGAGAAGUCGAUGGCUACCAUACAUUGACCUCCUACUACGUGCCAAGAAUUAUGCUAGGUAUGUUUUUCCAUCCCAAACCCUCAAGAUAACUGUAUUAAACCCUAGCUACGUCCUGAGAACAAAAGGAAACAAAAACACCCGCUAAUCUUUAUACAUUUUUCACCGUAAUGAAAGCCUAUCCAUUUGGGCCCCGUAGAUCUGAGCCCAGAAUUUUGGCCUGAGGCCUCCUCCCUGAUCCUCAGGCUUUAAGACCACACAGCAUGGGUCAGCAAACCACAAAGGGAAGGCUUACUUUUCUCACCCUGACCCAGACCUCUGAAGCCUUCCUGAUGACGCCUUGGGCAGGGCUCACUCAGCUUGACAAACUUUUACCCGGAACCCUCUGAUCCCAUUUUGAUGAAUGAAGUCAAAACCCCAGUGGGUUCGCUCAUCCGGCUGCUAUAGCACAGCCAGUCAAAGAUCUCAGUACCCAUCUGGAUACUUCAUUAGGGUCCUAAGACAUCUGGGGACCAGCGAUGGAAGAAACGUGCUUGUGUUGGGUGCCUGUCAUACGCCCGCACUGUGCUGAGCCCUUUCCAAUAUGGUAUCUCGGAUAGUCCCCCACCAAAAAAAAAAAAAAAAGGAAAGAAAAGAAAAGAAA